GCCUCGGUGGGUGGUGUAGUAGUUAGAGCACGCGUCCCCGGAUAGGAUGAAACGCGGGUUCGAUUCUCGCCUGAGACC